rnacentral:rRNA from 1 species
CCUACGGGAGGCAGCAGUAAGGAAUAUUGGUCAAUGGAGGCAACUCUGAACCAGCCAUGCCGCGUGCAGGAUGACGGCCCUAUGGGUUGUAAACUGCUUUUAUACAAGAGAAAACCCUGGUACGUGUACCAGGUUGAUAGUAUUGUAAGAAUAAGCAUCGGCUAACUUCGUGCCAGCAGCCGCGGUAAGACGAAGGAUGCAAGCGUUAUCCGGAUUCAUUGGGUUUAAAGGGUGCGUAGGCGGACUGAUAAGUCAGUGGUGAAAUCUCUUUGCUUAACAAAGAAACUGCCAUUGAUACUGUCGGUCUAGAGUAUAGAUGACGUUGGCGGAAUAUGACAUGUAGUGGUGAAAUACUUAGAUAUGUCAUAGAACACCGAUUGCGAAGGCAGCUAACGAAACUAUAACUGACGCUGAGGCACGAAAGUGCGGGGAUCAAACAGGAUUAGAUACCCUGGUAGUCCGCACCGUAAACGAUGAUUACUCGUUGUUGGCGAUAUGACAGUCAGCGACCAAGCGAAAGCGAUAAGUAAAUCCACCUUGGGGAGUAGCCGGCAACGGUUGAAACGUUAAGGAAUUGACGGCGNGAGAGNGCGAGCGACGACGAGGAGGAGG